CCUACGGGAGGCAGCAGUGGGGAAUAUUGCACAAUGGGCGCAAGCCUGAUGCAGCCAUGCCGCGUGUGUGAAGAAGGCCUUCGGGUUGUAAAGCACUUUCAGCGGGGAGGAAGGCGGUGAGGUUAAUAACCUCAUCGAUUGACGUUACCCGCAGAAGAAGCACCGGCUAACUCCGUGCCAGCAGCCGCGGUAAUACGGAGGGUGCAAGCGUUAAUCGGAAUUACUGGGCGUAAAGCGCACGCAGGCGGUCUGUCAAGUCGGAUGUGAAGUCCCCGGGCUCAACCUGGGAACUGCAUUCGAAACUGGCAGGCUAGAGUCUUGUAGAGGGGGGUAGAAUUCCAGGUGUAGCGGUGAAAUGCGUAGAGAUCUGGAGGAAUACCGGUGGCGAAGGCGGCCCCCUGGACAAAGACUGACGCUCAGGUGCGAUAGCGUGGGGAGCAAACAGGAUUAGAUACCCGUGUAGUC
rnacentral:rRNA from 1 species